UGCCAGCAGCCGCGGUAAUACGAAUGGAGCAAGCGUUGUUCGGAAUAACUGGGCUUAAAGCGUAUGUAGGCGGACCAGAAAGUCAGGAGUGAAAUCCCGGGGCUCAACCCCGGAACUGCUUCUGAAACUCCUGGUCUAGAAUCCUGGAGAGGUUGGGAAAAUUCCUAGUGUAGAGGUGAAAUUCGCAGAUAUUAGGAGGAAUACCAGUGGCGUAGGCGCCCAACUGGACAGGUAUUGACGCUCAGAUACGAAAGCGUGGGGAGCGAACAGGAUUAGAUA
rnacentral:rRNA from 1 species